rnacentral:lncRNA from 1 species
GGGCUUACUAUUUUUUAUCAUUUUUAUUUUCAUUUUAGAAUAGUACGAACAUGAUUAACUAGGUAAACUAUUUGAAAUAAUUGAAAAGGGAAAGGAUAACUACCAAGUUUACCUCUUGGCAAGGCGUUCGGUGUUUUUAAGUCCUCCGAACGGGACUCUCUGUUUUCUCAGUUUUCCUCGGAUUUGUUGGAUGGCGUAGUCGGUGCUUCCGACGGUGCCUCUUCUUCGUGUAUAGUUAUCUUCUCUCUCCACACCUGACUCGAUGCUACGGUCUCCUCAGGAUAAUUCUAUUCAAGCUGUAUGUCUUCAGACCUUACCACUUCCCCUUCAUAAUCUGCCCAUCCGUCCUUGAUGAUUUGCCUCCUCUGGUUGCGGUUGCGUCGUUUUCUUCUUGUCCUGACCUGCUUAGAGUCUUCAACAAUAUAGUUAGGGUCAGUAAAAUAGCGGCGUACCUUCUCUGAGGGGAAGUGAAUGUGAACUUCUCUGGUUCCAAUGUAGAUGAUUGCUUUGACGGUGCUGAGGAACGGUCUUCCAGGAUGACGGGUGGAUCGUAUUCGUCUUCUCCCAUGUCAAUAACCUGAAAGUCUAUGUAGACAAAAUGAUCGUCUAGUUUGACUGGGACAUCAGUUACAAUACCUUUAACCUCUCGAAAUGUCUGAUCUGCCAUCUAGAGCUGAAUGUAUGUUGGUUUUAGGGGCAUGGUUCCGAACAAGAGCCGAUAGGUGACUAUGGCCAUUAUGUUGACGCCCGAUCUGGUGUCGCAAGUCGUCUUGUAGAAGUUGUAUCCAUUUAUGGAGCAAUAGAUGCUUGGCAUUCCUGGGUCAUCCUUCUUGGUCAGAAACGGUGACUUAAGUUGAUGAUCUUGACCUCCUUGAACUGCAAUGACCAUCUUAGCUGACUCGGUCCACACUUGCUUGUUCCAGUUCCUCCUGUUGGUCCUCUUCCUUGGUUC